GAGACACUCUCCAUGUCGCACACACACUCGGGUUAAUCUACUUCGUAAACGAGAAACUGUUCUGGGUAAUUAAUAGUGACAUAAAGUAAUUUUCAUAUGAACAACAGCCCGUGUUCUUGGCGGUUCUCGUGUACUGUCUCAAUUCAAAGUCCACAUUGAGAGAAGAACGCUCCGAAUGGAAACAGACACGAUGAUCUCUCCUCUUCUCUUAACUUUAUUAGCACAAAUUGUUCCAUCAGCAGCCCGCUGCUACUAAACAAACAGCUGUUUCAGACCACAUGAUGUCCUCACGGCUGUCUGUCACUUGUUUUUUUGUGACGUGUCUGUGAGUGUGUUUUUGCCUGCUGCUCACCAGUUUUCAGUGUUCCGAGACUGAACGGUGUCAUCAUUUUUGUCAUGCUGCACUCAACACCACCAACCUUUUAAAAGCAGCUACCCAUGUACAGGGUUUCCCGCAUCGUAUUGAAGCAGAAGGACGCCGCCUCACCGGAAAUAAAAACUAAAUUCUCCGUGGAAUGCCCCGACAACCAUCAGCCUCUUCCAGCCCUCAGCAGUCAGACAGCACAUUACUCAGCCUCAGAUGACUGUUGGUGGAGCAUCUUGUGACUGAGAGAGGCAGAGUGGAGAAAAAAGACUCAACAGUCUGCUGUUUGUUGGGCUGAAAACCGGUUGGACAACGCGACACCAAACAUUCCUGGGUUUUAUGACAAAUAACUGUCCGGGCUGUCAGAGAACAGAAUACACAAGCUGCCAUUCAUGUCCAUGGAUGGGAGGAGGCGUAUCUAACCGUCCAAUCAGAGAGCAGCGGAGUGUGUCAGGGUCGUAUUCAGAGGAAGAAUGUGAUGUGAGGAGGUGAUAAAGGAAACAUGUUGCCGUCUCAGUGGGCAGAAUGAGGAUCUACAGCCAGUACAACAUAAAGUAGGGCUGCUAGAUUAUGGCAAUAAUCACAAUCACCAUUAUUUAUUGCAACAUGAAUUCUCAUUGACUUUGGAAGCAUCGUGCAUUUAUUGAACUUGAAAA